rnacentral:rRNA from 1 species
UGGCGGACGGGUGAGUAAUGUCUGGGAAACUGCCCGAUGGAGGGGGAUAACUACUGGAAACGGUAGCUAAUACCGCAUAACGUCGCAAGACCAAAGAGGGGGACCUUCGGGCCUCUUGCCAUCGGAUGUGCCCAGAUGGGAUUAGCUAGUAGGUGGGGUAACGGCUCACCUAGGCGACGAUCCCUAGCUGGUCUGAGAGGAUGAUCAGCCACACCGGGACUGAGACACGGCCCAG